CCCCCCCUCCGAUCUUUUCGGAAGUUUUGGUGGCUUGAGAUGCGCCCCUUACAAGAUGCCCAACAGGCGCGUCCGACGGCGCUGCCUCGGAUCGGCUCGACAACUACGCUCGGAGGAGCAGUUCUCUUCCCAUUACUGCGAAGCCCGGGUCUAGCACGUGCCAGAUUGGGGAGAUCGCUCGUUUCGCGGGCACGGUCAUUCCGUCCAAUGUGCAAAUGGGAACAGUGCUGAAGCGAGAGGAUAGAGACGGCUGACUUGGGGAGCGAAAGGCAAAAGGAGGACAGACCCGCUGGCAUUUGCCCACCACGGAUGCCGAAGACUGGGUGGGUGAGCGGAGCAGGAGGCGUCCCUCUUAAAGCUAAACUCCACCUUUAUUCUCCCCCCAGUAUCACAUGGCGGUGUGCGGUGCGGGAUGUGAAGAUCCUCACCUUUAAGCUGCACAUCUGGAGAACUUCAAGAAAGUGUGACUCUUUAAUGGCUUGCAUAGAUGGGAUGGGGGAAUAAAGACUAUAUAGCCACCCCCAAGGCUCCAUGGUCACAAGGCUUUACUUCAGCCAGAAGAAAUGCAAGAACAUAACACGAGCCCUGCUGGGUCAAGCCGUUAUAAAAUUAGUUAACCCGUUUAGCAUUUGAUAGAAUUUAUAGAAUUUAGCAUUGAAUAAAAAUGUAUGUACUUUUGUAAUCCCUGCAUCUACACUCUAUAAUGGAACCUAUGCAUCAAUGUUCUAAUUUCUAUGCCAUGUGGACUUCUCAUCCCUGACCUCCCUAUUUUUCUAAGUGCUGUUUGCAUAGGUUAGGAAUAUAAUGUUUAUGUGAAAUUACCUUGAGUCUUCCCAGGCAUAGGAAACUAUAGAUAUUGUAUGUUAUGAACUUUUUGAGGGUCUGGUUGUCAAGAAAAAGG